GUUAAUGUAGCUUAAUUAAAGCAAAGCACUGAAAAUGCUUAGAUGGAUGCAAGCAUCCCAUAGACA
rnacentral:tRNA from 1 species